rnacentral:rRNA from 1 species
AAUAUUGGACGAAGGGCGAAAGCCUGAUUCAGCCAUUCCGCGUGUGUGAAGAAGGNCUNNGGAUUNUNAAGCACCUUAUGUUGNNNNNAAGGGCAGCAAGUUAAUACCUUGCUGUUGUGACGUUACGGACAGAAUAAGCACCGGCUAACUUCGUGCCAGCAGCCGCGGUAAUACGAAGGGUGCAAGCGUUAAUCGGAAUUACUGGGCGUAAAGCGCGCGUAGGUGGUUCGUUAAGUUGGAUGUGGAAGCCCCGGGCUCAACCUGGGAACUGCAUCCAAAACUGGCGAGCUAGAGUACGGUAGAGGGUGGUGGAAUUUGCUGUGUAGCGGUGAAAUGCGUAGAUAUAGGAAGGAACACCAGUGGCGAAGGCGACCACCUGGACUGAUACUGACACUGAGGUGCGAAAGCGUGAGGAGCAAACAGG